rnacentral:rRNA from 1 species
UCGGUGGACAGGUGGUGCAUGGUUGUCGUCAGCUCGUGUCGUGAGAUGUUCGGUUAAGUCCGCUAACGAGCGCAACCCUCGCUGUGUGUUACAAGUGUCACACGGAACUGCCGGUCAUAAACCGGAGGAAGUGGGGAUGACGUCAAGUCAGCAUGGCCUUUAUAUCCUGGGCUACACACACGCUACAAUGGGAAGGGACAAUAGGUUGCGAAGCCGCGAGGCGGAGCCAAUCCAGCAAAACUUCCCUCAGUUCAGAUUGCAGGCUGCAACCCGCCUGCAUGAAGUUGGAGUUGCUAGUAAACGCAGGUCAGCCAUACUGCGUUGAAUACGUUCCCGGGGCUU